rnacentral:rRNA from 1 species
GACGAACGCUGGCGGCGUGCUUAACACAUGCAAGUCGAACGGAAAGGCCCUGCUUUUGUGGGGUGCUCGAGUGGCGAACGGGUGAGUAACACGUGAGUAACCUGCCCUUGACUUUGGGAUAACUUCAGGAAACUGGGGCUAAUACCGGAUAGGAGCUCCUGCUGCAUGGUGGGGGUUGGAAAGUUUCGGCGGUUGGGGAUGGACUCGCGGCUUAUCAGCUUGUUGGUGGGGUAGUGGCUUACCAAGGCUUUGACGGGUAGCCGGCCUGAGAGGGUGACCGGCCACAGUGGGACUGAGAUACGGCCCAGACUCCUACGGGAGGCAGCAGUGGGGAAUAUUGCACAAUGGGCGGAAGCCUGAUGCAGCAACUCCGCGUGCGGGAUGACGGCCUUCGGGUUGUAAACCGCUUUCGCCUGUGACGAAGCGUGAGUGACGGUAAUGGGUAAAGAAGCACCGGCUAACUACGU